ACGAACGCUGGCGGCGUGCUUCACACAUGCAAGUCGAACGGAAAGGCCCUGCUUUUGUGGGGUGCUCGAGUGGCGAAAGGGUGAGUAACACGUGAGUAACCUGCCCUUGACUUUGGGAUAACUUCAGGAAACUGGGGCUAAUACCGGAUAGGAGCUCCUGCUGCAUGGUGGGGGUUGGAAAGUUUCGGCGGUUGGGGAUGGACUCGCGGCUUAUCAGCUUGUUGGUGGGGUAGUGGCUUACCAAGGCUUUGACGGGUAGCCGGCCUGAGAGGGUGACCGGCCACAUUGGGACUGAGAUACGGCCCAGACUCCUACGGGAGGCAGCAGUGGGGAAUAUUGCACAAUGGGCGGAAGCCUGAUGCAGCAACGCCGCGUGCGGGAUGACGGCCUUCGGGUUGUAAACCGCUUUCGCCUGUGACGAAGCGUGAGUGACGGUAAUGGGUAAAGAAGCACCGGCUAACUACGUG
rnacentral:rRNA from 1 species